rnacentral:lncRNA from 1 species
UUUCAGCUUCAUUCAUUGAGAGACUUUGUUUAAAUUCGAUUUUAAUUAGUUUUAAUACAAUAUUAUUGUUAUUUUCAUUAUCAAACCAUCUUAAGAUCUGUUUCUAUUUUGUGUUUAUCUUUACUAAAAAGGCAGUAACGAAAAUAUUGAAAAUUCCGUUAACAGUUCAUAUUUUGUUUUUUUCCUUUUUUUGCAAAGUUUUGGAUCCCGUUAUAAUCGCGUAAAUAUUUGUUGAUUAGGAAUGUGUUAGGUGAAAGUUCACUACAAAUUUUUUUUAAAAAUUAAACUUGGCAAUUGACAUUAAGAAGUUAGGCAACAGAAAAAUAAAAUUUACUCUGUUAUUAAAGUAACUCUAUUUUAAAGUGAAUUUAUUUACAUCUAGAAAAUUAACCUCGUUUACCCUCAUCGAAAUUUCCUGUACUUAAUACAAACUUCGAGCUAGUUUGAAAAAUGCAAAAAACUUCUCUGGAAAAAAAAAAUUUUUUUAGACGUUAGAUUCAACGUCUUUCGUAAGUCAUACACUCUCCUGAUACACAGAGUAUUUAACUUUAUGUACUCUUAAAUGUAUUAAAGAUAUAGAGUGAUAUAAAUGGAAAUGUCGGACAUAUUUCUACUUUUCAAUUUCCAGAAAGAGUGGCUCAGUAUUCUGGUUGGACAAGUUAAGAUGUGAAUGGCUUUGUGAAGAAAUAAGUUUACAAGAGCUUAAAUUAAGAAGAUGCUGAACAAAACAAAUAAUUUAACAACAUUCUGAUCCUCCAAAGAAAGCUUCAAAAGUAACUAAUAGGAGAUUCUCUUGAAAAUGGACAAAAUUUGGCAUCAUGGUGUUAUCAAGUACCUGCAGAAAAAUAAUUUAGACCCCCACCCCUGCUUUCAUUCAUAAGGACAUUCAUAUUGACAUGUUUGCUACAUUAUGGAAUGACACUCCAGCUUUAUCAACAGUGCAAAAGUAUGUAGCUGAAUUUAGGAGGAGAAGGGAGAGUCUUGAAGUUGACUCAAGGUUUGGAUGUCGUGCAACUGCCACCACCAAGGAAAUCAUUGAUUGUGUUCACCACAUUGUGAUGGAUGACAAGCGAUUGACUAUGCUAUUAGCAUAUCUUGUGAGAGAGUUGAGAAUAUUCUGUGCAACAAAUUUGAUAUGAUGAAAGUCUCUGCAAAGUCUUCCUACAAAAUGCACCAGGCUGACCACAUCACGGGGAAAAUCUGACAUUGUUUGAGGCAGAUCCAGCUGCUUUCCUUGGAUGUUUCCAAACCCAGGAGGAGUGUUUUGUUCAUCACCUUGAGCGAAAGACAAUACACCUGUUCCAAAGAAGGCCAAUGUCAUUUUAUCUUGCAGGGAAGAUGAUGGCUUGUUUUGGGGGAUCUAAAAGACAUUGUGCUUAUUGACUAUCUUCAAAAGGGCCAUACCAUCAAUGGAGAGUACUAUGCCAACUUGUUGAGGCAGUUACAAA